UAGACAAUCAAGGCUAAUGUUACAUCCCACAUUUUUAAAAGUGGCUUAGGAUUUUUAUAUUUUCACUCUGGCCCAACACUAUUUGCAUGCAUUGACUCCCAAAUCUUUGGACCACAAUGGAUAUAAUCAGCCUGCUUGUAUUUGCUUAUAUGUUGUUAUGGAUUAAGAACUGGUGGUCAACUUAACACCAGCUGGAUUACAUCAACAUGGCACUGAGCAAAGAUGCUCCAGCUGAGGAAAGUUGCCAGCAUAAACAGGUGGAGAUGGAGAAGAAAGGCAUUAAUGUGUCAUUGCAUUGAGGCACUGUGGGUUCUCCUACGAGUUGCUGUUUGAGCCAUUGAUUCUCCUGGAGAAGCUCUGGUCCUCAUAUUGAGCAUUGCUUCCUGGCUCUGGAGGGGAAGACAUGUGCCCCUUGGUCUCCAGGAUGAACUCCUCACACGGGCUUCCUGGCAUGUACCCAACUGUGCUUGUCAUGGGAGGAGUUUGGGGCCUCUGUGUUGCUGAGGAUGGCUGUGGUGCCUUUCAGGACAGCCCUGGUCUUUCUUGUGAGUGUGACUUUUUGGCUACAGCAUAGAAUCCUCAUCCUACAGCACAGCUCCUUCACCCUGCUGGCAUGGACUUUCUGGCUUCCACCGCUGACUUUUGGGCCUUCCCAGCAUGGAUCCAUAAAAGAGACUGGUGAAUUUGUUUUGUUUUGUCUUGGUCUGUUCUGUUUUCCCCUCUAAUACAGAAAGGAGAAGCGUACUUGUAGAGAUUGAUGCAUGCAUAGAACUUUUAAAAAGUUUAUGAGAAUCGAUUAUAUAAUGCAUGAUGAAAUGAACAGCUACUUCGAAGAAAAAGAGACACUAAGCAUACGUGAAGGUAUGGGCAGCUAUUUUGAAGAGAAUGAGAGACACCAUGGCAGCCAAUGUUGACUUCCCUAUUGUCUGGUCUUAUAGACCUAAAAUGCCUUCAUCAUCCUGUUCUGAUCAGUUCUAUACUAUUUUGUUUUAUAUGAAUUCAUUGUAUGUGAAGGUGUGGACAACUAUUUGGAAGAAAACAAGGAACAGUAUGACAGACAGUGAAGAUCUCUGGUCUUGCUUUGAAAUCUGUGUCUCUUACAUUGUUAUCUUAUGAUCUACUUUGCUGUGUUUUGUUAUGUUUAAUUUUGUCCUCUUUAAAAAUUAAAAAUUUAAAA